UCGGACGUGAGGAUGCUUACACAUGCAGUCGAUUCAAGUUACCUUCGGGUAAUGAGGAUGGCGGACGGGUGAGUAACGCGUAAGGAACUUGCCUCUUGGACUGGGACAACUGUUGGAAACGACAGCUAAUACCGGAUAUUAUGAGAUUCUCGCAUGAGAAACUUAUGAAAGCUAUAUGCGCCAAGAGAGAGCCUUGCGUUCCAUUAGCUAGUUGGUGGGGUAACGGCCCACCAAGGCGACGAUGGAUAGCCGGCCUGAGAGGGUGAACGGCCACAAGGGGACUGAGACACGGCCCUUACUCCUACGGGAGGCAGCAGUGGGGAAUAUUGGACAAUGGACCAAAAGUCUGAUCCAGCAAUUCUGUGUGCACGAUGAAGGUCUUCGGAUUGUAAAGUGCUUUCAGUUGGGAAGAAGCAAGUGACGGUACCAACAGAAGAAGCGACGGCUAAAUACGUGCCAGCAGCCGCGGUAAUACGUAUGUCGCAAGCGUUAUCCGGAUUUAUUGGGCGUAAAGCGCGUCUAGGCGGAAAAAUAAGUCUGAUGUUAAAAUGCGGGGCUCAACUCCGUAUUGCGUUGGAAACUGUUUUUCUAGAGUACUGGAGAGGUGGGCGGAACUACAAGUGUAGAGGUGAAAUUCGUAGAUAUUUGUAGGAAUGCCGAUGGAGAAGUCAGCUCACUGGACAGAUACUGACGCUGAAGCGCGAAAGCGUGGGGAGCAAACAGGAUUAGAUACCCUGGUAGUCCACGCCGUAAACGAUGAUCACUAGGUGUUGGGGGUCGAACCUCAACGCCCAAGCUAACGCGAUAAGUGAUCCGCCUGGGGAGUACGGCACGCA
rnacentral:rRNA from 1 species